GUGUCAGUAGAUUUAGCACUGCUGCAAUAAGUGAAGAGUUGAUCACCCCACCUGUUCAUAUGAAUUGGCAGCCAGAUUAAACAAAAUUACAUACUUUCCAGGUAUGGAUCUUGCUUUUUAUUUCUGUGCUUUGCUGUCUUUUUCAUGCUAGGAGUUAUGAUUCGUGUUUUGUACAUUAGCCAAUGAGUUGCAGACUAUUUUGUGACUUAAGUAUUCCUUUACAUAGGUUGGGACGUGCUGCAUAUGAAUGCUAGAAGAUGUAGGCAGUU
rnacentral:lncRNA from 1 species